UGUAAUUCUACAUCAUUUACAACCACAAGGAUGGAGAGUCAUAUUCUAUGUAUGUAUAAUAUGAACAAAUUUGUUCAUAUUAUAUACUGUCAUGUAUUAUAUACUGUCAUGUAUAUUUAAAAAACAGAUUAAAAAAGUUAAACUCAUAAAAGAUAAAGUAUGUUCAAAAGAUAUAUUUUUGUUGUGAAGAUUACUGAGAUUUCAAAAUAAAGGGGAUAUAACACAAAAUAAAAUAAAAUUUUUGGGUCAAUUAUAAAAAAUAUUUAAAGUUUGUAAAGGCUUAAAAUAAAGAAAAAUUUGUAAAGGAUUUUUUUAUGUGAUUGAGUUGAUAAAUAUAUGGAUCUUUGUAGAAUAAAUACAUGGAUCUUUAUGGAGGCUAAACAGACACCAAAGAUACAUUAGUGUUAUUAUAGAAAUUAUGCUUCUUGGAUCAAAGUUAUUAUACAACAGUUUUGCUUUUGUAAAAUCUUAGAACCAUUGUCUAUCAGUGCUUUGCAGAAUUACUACUUCUAACAGAACAACCUGAGUUAAUUUAAGACAAUAAGUUAUCACCUACGGGAUUGAGAGGAUAUAAUGCUGAAUUCCAGUACUAAUAGUUACCCUAAAUAUUGUCCCUAAGUCAAUGAAAGAGAUAACUGUAAAAUAUAGACAUUAAAGACAAAACCCGUUACUCCCUCCUCAAGACUGGUGAAACUGGCCUAUUGGAUAUUUAAAAUCAAAACUUGAAGACAAAAGCCAAGGAAGUAAAAGGCUAAGGAAAAAGCAGUCAAUAUUUGACCUUUGCCCUCUAAGGUCAGCCAGGACCCAGGGAAUGAUGGGAAUACUCUAAGGGACAUCAACUCUGGCAAGUCACCUGACCUCCUGAUCAGGGGGCUGUGAGGACCCUAGAGAAUAGGAAGCAACCAGUGAAUAUUCUGCAGAGAAUUAUUGGAGAAGGAGAUGUUCCUGAUGCUUCCAAAGGAAGCCAUGAGUGGUCAGCAAGAGUCUGACCCAUCCUGGCAGAUGAAAUGGCUGGUAGAGGAAAGCUAAAGGGGCCAAGCUUCUUCUCACAAGUUCCCAAGAGUGAUCCCUGAGGAAUCUCAACUGCCCUAAGUGUAGGACAAGAUCUAUUUUUGAACAAUUUAGUCUUAAGUCCUGGAAGUCAAGUAUAAGCAAAGCACAGCCAUUACGUGGACAUUUAAAAGGAAAAACAAUCUUUUGAUGUAUACUUGUGUCAGUCCUCCUAAAAGUCAGUAAACUAGGUGGUUAUAAAAAGAGGGCUCUUGUGCAGGAGAGCCUAGUAAGUACCACAAAGGACUCUGAUAGAGUGACAAGUUUGUCCUGAGUUCAUUUGAGCCUAAUCUCACAAAUCUACCAAACUUUCUCACCUCCUACAUGGAUGGACUGGGUCUGUGUUUCUGGCUUUCAAUCUACCCCAAAGCACAGCAUCCAUCAGAGCUAAAUGGGCUAUACCACUCAUUCCUAUUCUGGUAGGAUUGGGAAUAAUUCCUGGGUGGAUACAGUAAUAGGAGGUCUAUCUACCUCCCUCUCCUAUCAUCUAGAUUUAUCUAAAGAUCUCUGUGUUAGUCUAGAGGAAAUAGCAACAGCCAUAAUUACCCUGCAGAACCAGGUGGACUCACUAACAGCAAUCACUCUCCAAAAGUGGAAAUAAUUAUAUCUAUUUACCACCAAGAGAUUAAGUCUCUUUCUGGAAGAAAAAUGGCAGUUUUAUGUAAACCAAUCUGGUAUAGUUAGAGAUGCAACAAAGAAAUUAGCAGACUGUCCCUCCAGGAUUAGGCAGCACCGUCAGAUUCAUAAGGAUCAUGGUCAAAAUUUACAGCUGGGUGUUUUGGUACAAUCCUUGGUGGGAUUCUUUCUGAUGCUCCUUCUAUCUCUGUUGUUCAGACCCUUCCUGUUAAACCUACUGUCACAGUU
rnacentral:lncRNA from 1 species